UACAGAGGUGGCAAGCGUUGUUCGGAAUUACUGGGCGUAAAGGGCGCGUAGGCGGCCUUCUAAGUCAGACGUGAAAUCCCCCCGGCUUAACCUGGGAACUGCGUCUGAUACUGGAAGGCUUGAGUGCGGGAGAGGGAUGUGGAAUUCCAGGUGUAGCGGUGAAAUGCGUAGAUAUCUGGAGGAACACCGGUGGCGAAGGCGACGUCCUGGACCGGCAUUGACGCUGAGGCGCGAAAGCCAGGGGAGCAAACGGG
rnacentral:rRNA from 1 species